rnacentral:rRNA from 1 species
AACAUGUCUUUUUGUAUUUUAUUUAAAGUCUAGCCUGCCCACUGAAUAAUUUUAAAUGGCCGCAGUAUCCUAACUGUGCAAAGGUAGCAUAAUCAUUAGUCUUUUAAUUGAAGGCUGGUAUGAAUGGUUGGACGAGGUAUUAACUGUUUCAAAUAAAUUUAUAAUUGAAUUUUAUUUUUUAGUCAAAAAGCUAAAAUUUUAUUAAAAGACGAGAAGACCCUAUAAAUCUUUACUUUUAAGUUUAUUUUAAUUAUUAAGAUGAAUUUUAUUAUAAUAAAAUUAAAAGUUUUAUUGGGGUGAUAUUAAAAUUUAAUGAACUUUUAAUUUGUAAUGACAUUAAUUAAUGAAUAAUUGAUCCGUUAUUGACGAUUAAAAAUUUAAGUUACUUUAGGGAUAACAGCGUAAUUUUUUUGGAGAGUUCUUAUCGAUAAAAAAGAUUGCGACCUCGAUGUUGGAUUAAGAAAAAUUUUAGGUGUAGUCGCUUAAAUAUUAAGUCUGUUCGACUUUUAAUUUCUU